GGGCGGGCGACACCUCGAGUCGGGGUGUAGGGAGGGCGUAGUGUGGGACGCGCCCCGGCCAGAGAAGUCGCUUUCCCGAGAGUUGCCGAGCCCCGCGCACAACCGGCAGCCAGAGCCGCAGGCUGGGAGGGGCGGCUUGGCCGGGGCCCGGUGUUAGGCUGAGGAGGGAGCGAGAAGCCCCCAGGGAAAGGAAGCGGCCGAGCCCGCGCGCCCGCAGGAGCGGGAAGCACCCGGCCACCUCUUCCCGCUGCUCCAGCCUCGGCGGUGGCGGAGCAGCAAGGGGAGGAGCAACAACUGCCGAGUCCGCCAACGGGAGCAGUGGAGGCGGAGCCGGAGCCCUGGAGCCGCCUCGGGCGCUGCCUGGGCUGUAGUUUCCCGGGAGAGAGGAGGAGGAGCGGAGCGGAGCGGAGCGCAGCCGGGAGCCCAGCUCCAGCCUCCCGCCAAGGGUAGCAGGUGUGUGGGAGGUAAGCGCGGUGUCCCGCUCGAGCAUCCGCACCCUGCCCGGAAGAAAGCUUCUUCCCCAGCAAUUAUAGGAAGGCACAACUGCAAGAGUCUGGCUUGAGUUAGUAAACCUGUGCAAACCCUGACGGGUAAAAGAUGUAGGUUUUUGGACUUUGAGGGAGCAAAAAACCAAAAGGUAGCUUGACCCUGAGUAUAAAGGGCAUGGUUAGUGUUUUGGGUUUGAGUUGCAUCAACUGUUCAGGGAGAUCGGCAAGAUUGAGCGAAGUCCUGCUUAUGAAGGAUUAAGAAAAUCAACAAUUUUGGCCAGGCGUACUGGCACAUACCUGUAAUCUUCGCCCUAUGGAAGCUGAGGCAGGAGGAUUGCUGUGAGUUUGAGGCCAUCCUGGGCCACAUUUUAUGCAGAUGGUUAAGAUACAAAGAAACUUCGAUGCUUAAGAAGUAAAUCAUAGCUGCUGGCCACAAUUCACACCAGGCCAAGACGAUUUACUUUCUGAGAAAGUUGAAUUGAGGAAGCUGUAUGAGAAGCAUUAUUUCAGCCAUGCAGUUUAACAUGGGAAAAUAAGAACAAGAUGACUGCACAGAAUAUUAAUGAAAUAAAAAAGGCAAUGUCAAGCAAUAGGUUUACAAUCAUAUGUUCCUGACACUUGUUUGUGUGGACACAAUUACUAGAAUGUGAAGAGAAAGUGAAAGGUUUUAUGGAGGCACUGGAAAUUAUAUGUAGAGAAAUUCAACAUAUGUAAUUGUUUUUUCAAGGCUAGUCUUUUAUUAUGACCCAAGCCCUAUCCCAUUACAUAGACAAUGAAAGAGAACCAUACAAAGUUAUAAAGAUUGCACCAGGUACCACCCUCUUUGCAUGUUUUUUUAGCCAAAACAUGGCCCUGCAAUAUAAUUAUCACUUCAAAAAUAACCAGAAUCUUUUGUGUAUUUCUAUAAAAUGGUCCAUAGUAACUACAGGGCUUGUGUGUCUUGAAAAUUCUGUAACCACAACUUCCUUUGCAUUCUUAAAAUUAAAAAAAUUUAAUUAGUUACAGUUAUAAUCUGGCCUCUUUAAAAUAAUGAAAUCAAUAUUUAAAAAUUCGAAUUUCAGACAAAAAUAUAGAAUAUCUAGUUGAUAAUACAAGAAAAAAAACCCAGUUCCUUUUUUUCAAUUUGUAUUUUUUAUUAGUAUAUGUUUGCAGUCCAUAAUGAUUACAUUCCUCAUGGGGAGUGGCCUGUUUCUUUUAAAUCAGGUAUCUCAAACUGACAGCUUGGUAGACUCAAAUCCUUCUGCCUCACUGCCUCACAACUGAAUUGUGUUUUGCAGAGUAUAUGUUUGGGGAAAAAUAUUUCCUUUAGGUGAGGGGUAGCCUUUUCAAGUGCUUCACACCCCACUGUUCUAUUAAACCAGCCCUAGAGGCACAUUCAUUUAUCUGCUAAGAGACUGGGGACUUCUUUGUCAGAAUUUUAAAUUAUGAGCCUUUUGGUAAAUUUAAUAUAUGCUAUUAAGUUAUUUAUAUAAUUUUCAGAAUAUGUUUAGUAAAAUGAGGUAAGCCUAUAAUUAUUCAAAGUGACUUUAACCGUAUUAGGAGAGUUUUUCAAAACUGAGUCUCUAUAAGCUAAGAUUAAAUGACGGAACAAUCAACUAUCUCUUAUUAUUCCUUUAAAUAAAUUUUUUCUCCUUGUAGAAAAAAGUAGAAAAUCAGACAUUUUUCUUAAUCCAGAUAAAAAAAUUGAAGAUAUGUCAGAUUUCAAGUGAUUACUCUGCUGAAUGUGUAGACUUACUGAUCAGGAAAUAAUAUUGUAGUUAUGAGCAGUCAGAACAUGGUGAUAUGUUUUUAGACUGUCAGCUCCAUUGUCAAGGUAGAAUUAAUCGGUAAGUGGAAUGCAGCAUUAUCAUGUAUGAUUUGUUCUACUAUCUUUUCCAGUAUGUAAAGUAAUGAACAAGUCUUUAAUGUCACCAAGUGAUUGUCCUUCAUGUGUGAAAGGGCAACAUUUUAGAAAUAUGUACUGUCCUGCAGUAUAAAUGAAUUU
ensembl:lncRNA